AUCUUUAACAUAAUUAAAAUUUAAUACAAAAAAUUUAAAAAGCGCAAAUCUUAUUCUAAUUAUAUUUGAAUCAGUCUCCAACAUAUUAGGCAUGAAAUUAUAUAUCUAACUUGAGUGGAAUUCUUGUUACUCACUCCUUACACUUGUGUCUGGAUAGUGUAUCAGCCUUGAUGUCCAUUUUUAAUUACCUCACUUUUUUGUAUAUUAUAUUAUUCUACCAAAAACUGUCACCUUCAAAAUCGUUUUUCCAACUACAUAACCGCGUACUAUUCAUAGACAAAAGAAUCUUCCUAUGUAACAGAAAAAUAAAAUAAUU
rnacentral:lncRNA from 1 species